rnacentral:rRNA from 1 species
UGGGGAAUAUUGGACAAUGGGGGCAACCCUGAUCCAGCAAUGCCGCGUGUGUGAAGAAGGUCUUCGGAUUGUAAAGCACUUUCGACGGGGACGAUGAUGACGGUACCCGUAGAAGAAGCCCCGGCUAACUUCGUGCCAGCAGCCGCGGUAAUACGAAGGGGGCUAGCGUUGCUCGGAAUGACUGGGCGUAAAGGGCGUGUAGGCGGUUUACACAGUCAGAUGUGAAAUCCCCGGGCUUAACCUGGGAGCUGCAUUUGAUACGUGUAGACUAGAGUGUGAGAGAGGGUUGUGGAAUUCCCAGUGUAGAGGUGAAAUUCGUAGAUAUUGGGAAGAACACCGGUGGCGAAGGCGGCAACCUGGCUCAUGACUGACGCUGAGGCGCGAAAGCGUGGGGAGCAAACAGGAUUAGAUACCCUGGUAGUCCACGCUGUAAAACGAUGUGUGCUAGAUGUUGGGUAACUUUGUUAUUCAGUGUCGCAGUUAACGCGUUAAGCACACCGCCUGGGGAGUACGGCCGCAAGG